rnacentral:rRNA from 1 species
UACGAAGGGGGCUAGCGUUGUUCGGAAUUACUGGGCGUAAAGCGCACGUAGGCGGAUUUGUAAGUCAGGGGUAAAAUCCCGGGGCUCAACCUCGGAACUGCCUUUGAUACUGCAAGUCUCGAGUCCGAUAGAGGUAAGUGGAAUUCCUAGUGUAGAGGUGAAAUUCGUAGAUAUUAGGAAGAACACCAGUGGCGAAGGCGGCUCACUGGAUCGGUACUGACGCUGAGGUGCGAAAGCGUGGGGAGCAAACAGG